GCCAAAUCAAAUAUGAAGAGAAGCAUGCACGUGGUUAGACUGGAUGGCCAAAAAGGAAGGAGUUAAAAUCUCGCAUAAAAACAAUGGAGGUGAGCAAAUUAUUGGAAGUAUGCGAAAUCUUGUAGAUGGGUAUUGCGCGUCAACAAACUCAGUUUUCGAAUACCUGGGUUGCGUGUGGCAUGGUUGUACGAUGUGCGAUACAAACAAGGAUGGUAGUGGAAAUCUGUUGGAACGCCAUCAGCUUAUGGAAAAAUCGUAGGAACAGCUCAAUAAAGAAACAAUGCAACGGUUGAAACGUUUGGAGACUGAAGGGUAUAAUGUCCAUUUUAAAUGGGGGUGUCAGUGGCGGCGUGAGCAACAGGAUCCGGAGAUUCGAAACUUCAUCUGCAAAAACAAACCCGCGUGGAAACACCCCCAAAAUGAAAAGUCGGGUAAGUUUAUUAUGGUAUACUGUUUGAACACUACUAACGUUUAACGUUUAGGUAAACUUUAUAUGGAUUUGCCGAAGUGGAUGUAAGUGUACCAGAGCACUUGCGAAGGAUAUACAGCGAAUUCCCUCCAUCUUCAAAAACCAUUUGAUUUCUCGGACCUCAUAUGAAGGCUUUCGCGGAGAAAAAUAACAUCAUGAGCUCACCGAGACGUAGCUGUGAUCAGCAGUUUCAAGGGGGAAAAACAAACUUUCGCGACGCCGCUGCUAAAGUGGUACUUGGAACAUGGACUUUUGAUCACCAAAGUUUAUAUACAUUUACACGUGUAGUCUACGAGUUUAUACAUAUACAUUUACACGUGUACAAUUAUUAACUAAGUUUUUGAGAAUUUGUCUGCGAUGCCCGGCGUGCUGGUGAUAACGAUCCCACACAAGCCACCAUAGCUGACUGUGCAAAAAGUUAAUUGGAAAUUCAGCAUAUGGAAAACCUUGACCAACAAGCUGAAGUUCAAAGAUGUUGUCUUCAAAAGGGACCUCUUGUUAACAACAUGAUAAAGCGAAAACCUAUUGUUCACUGUGACGAGAUUGCCACGGACCUCUGAAAUCCAUAUGAGAAAGGAACAUAUACACCAAGACCUCCCGAUACAAAUCGGGGUGUUCGUAUAUGAUCUGGCAAAAUUAAAAUUGUUACAGUUUGUUUAUGAUGUAUUAUUCUUAUUUAUUGAUCCGUCUGACAUUACCCUUGUGCAGUGUGAUACUGAUUCAAUGUACUUUGGUUUAUCCGCAGACUCACUCGAUGAUGUUAUUAAAAAGCCCGAGUUGAGAAAACGAUUCUUUAACGAAUACGGUACUUGGUUUCCUGCCUUGGGGUGUGAUGCUCACAACGCUGAGUUUGUUGAAACCAGGACAGCCUUUAAGGCUUGGGUUCCAUAAAAGUGUUGCAAACAACGAACUCUUUGACAAACGCACAUUGGGGUUGUUUAAAGUUGAGUAUAGUGGUAACCGGUAUUGUUGCUUUGAAGUUGAGUAUAGUGGUAACCGGUAUUGUUGCUUUGAAUUCUAAAACAUACUACUGUACCGGGGAUGUUGAUAAGAUUAGCAGCAAGGGUUUGUCCAAAAGACACAUCAACCUCCAAUUUACCGAUUAUAAACAUGUGUUACAAACCAAACAAACUGUAACUGGUGAAAAUAUUUCAUUCCGAGUUUUUAACAACAAGGUAUACA